rnacentral:rRNA from 1 species
AUUGAACGCUGGCGGCAUGCCUUACACAUGCAAGUCGAACGGCAGCACGGGCUUCGGUCUGGUGGCGAGUGGCGAACGGGUGAGUAAAGCAUCGGAACGUACCCGGAAGUGGGGGAUAACGUAGCGAAAGUUACGCUAAUACCGCAUAUUCUGUGCGCAGGAAAGAGGGGGAUCUUCGGACCUCUUGCUUUCGGAGCGGCCGAUGUCAGAUUAGCUAGUUGGUGGGGUAAAGGCCUACCAAGGCGACGAUCUGUAGCGGGUCUGAGAGGAUGAUCCGCCACACUGGGACUGAGACACGGCCCAGACUCCUACGGGAGGCAGCAGUGGGGAAUUUUGGACAAUGGGCGCAAGCCUGAUCCAGCCAUGCCGCGUGUGUGAAGAAGGUCUUCGGAUUGUAAAGCACUUUAAGUUGGGAGGAAGGGUAUUCACCUAAUACGUGGGUACUUUGACGUUUCCAACAGAAUAAGCACCGGCUAACUCUGUGCCAGCAGCCGCCGUAAAAC